GGGGGUGUGGCUCAGUGAUAGAGCGCUUACCUAGCAUGUGUGAGGCCCUGAGUUCAAUCCUCAGCACUACAU
rnacentral:tRNA from 1 species